GGCUGCGGCGGUUCGGUCCGGCCUCCUGCGCCAGCAGCGGCACCGGUGAGCGCUGCCAGCCGCAGGCCUGGCCGAGCAGGGAGGGCCCGGGCGCGGCCGCCUGCAGGGUGGCAGGGAAGGGCCUCCCUCGGCGGCAAGCCUGGCAGUGACCCUCGGGGGCCGCUUACUGUGUCUGGAGAGCAGCGGCAGGGGCUGCAGCGAGGGCAAGCCAUAUCAAUGGCCACAUCUUACAAUGGUGAUCCUGCAGCUUAGAGGAACCUGCAGGUAAAGGGUCCAGUGCCAUUACAGAAUCACAGCAUCACAGCGUGGAAGGGAGUUGCAGUACCAGGACAGAAGUGUGGUGCUGCUUUUCCAGAUGAAAAGGUUGGAAGAAGCAAGAACAUCUUAGAUGUCCAAACUUCCUUGAAAGAUCCUCAACGCCCCUGGUGCCAGGAAUACAGCUACAUCCAGACUCGGAGAGCAGCACAGGUAGAAGAAGACAGCAGGGGUGCCUGCUUGGGAGAUUUUCUCUCUGGGAAGCUGUCUUGGAAUGCAAGAGGAGUGGCCCUGCUUUGGCAAGCUCCUACACAACAUAAAUGCCUUAUAUGUUACAUACUGAAACAGAAAUCCUGGGAACAUUCCAGGGCAGGUUGGAUGGGGCUCUGAGCAGCCUGAUCUAGUGGAAGAUGUCACUACUGACUGCUGGGGGAGGUUUCAAGUAGAUGACCUUUAAAUAUUUCUUCCAACCCAAUCUACUCUGUGAUUCUGUGAUUCCAUCAGAGCACCUGUGUUGUGCAGCUGCUCUGCCUUUGAGCUCUUCCAGUUCAGCUCCAUUGUAGAAACUUUGCAGCUGGCCAGAAGCUGUAUUUUGAGGACAAAAUGAGACAUCACUUACACU